UGGGGUUUGUUUUAUGGGUGGAUUCUACUGUGGCCAGGUCUUUCUCUACCUUGUCCAGUGUUGUGUUGUGCAGCCUCUUUGUCCUAGCCCCUAUCUGGAUUAAUUCUCCCCUCAUGACCGCCUUAUGGGCCAGCCAUUUUGUGGCGUCGGAUGACGAGCAGUCAACGUGGUCAGCGAAAAAUUCCGCAGCCCGGACCUGUAGUCGUUGGAGAUGUGCUGGUACGUCUAACAGAC